GGGGCUGCCCUGGUUUCGACGUGGGUUCGGAAUCGGCGUGGUGCAUGUCGAGCUUGAUUGGCGCUCGUAAAUCUGCAUUCAAAAAACUAACUGCAAACGACGAACGUUUCGCACUCGCCGCUUAACCGGUGAGCCUUGCAACAGCACGCUGAUGGGCUGGGCAAGGGGGCUGCAAAGCCUCCCGGCUGCAAGGUUAUCUACAUCAGC
rnacentral:tmRNA from 1 species